rnacentral:rRNA from 1 species
AACCUGCCUUUAAGACGAGGAUAACAAUUGGAAACAGUUGCUAAGACUGGAUAGGAAAUAAAAAGGCAUCUUUUUAUUUUUAAAAGACCUUUUUCGGAAGGUAUGCUUAAAGAGGGGCUUGCGUCACAUUAGUUAGUUGGCAGGGUAAAGGCCUACCAAGACUAUGAUGUGUAGCUGGACUGAGAGGUUGAACAGCCACAUUGGGACUGAGACACGGCCCAAACUCCUACGGGAGGCAGCAGUAGGGAAUUUUCGGCAAUGGAGGAAACUCUGACCGAGCAACGCCGCGUGAACGAUGAAGUAUUUCGGUAUGUAAAGUUCUUUUAUUGAAGAAGAAAAAAUAGUGGAAAAACUAUCUUGACGAUAUUCAAUGAAUAAGCCCCGGCAAACUAUGUGCCAGCAGCCGCGGUAAUACAUAGGGGGCGAGCGUUAUCCGGAAUUAUUGGGCGUAAAGGGUGCGUAGGCGGUUUAAUAAGUCUAUAGUUUAAUUUCAGUGCUUAACACUGUCCUGCUAUAGAAACUAUUAGACUAGAGUGAGAUAGAGGCAAGUGGAAUUCCAUGUGUAGCGGUAAAAUGCGUAAAUAUAUGGAGGAACACCAGAGGCGUAGGCGGCUUGCUGGGUCUUUACUGACGCUGAGGCACGAAAGCGUGGGGAGCAAACAGGAUUAGAUACCCUGGUAGUCCACGCCGUAAACGAUGAGUACUAAGUGUCGGGAUUACUCGGUACUGAAGUUAACACAUUAAGUACUCCGCCUGAGUAGUACGUACGCAAGUAUGAAACUUAAAGGAAUUGACGGGACUCCGCACAAGCGGUGGAUCAUGUUGUUUAAUUCGAAGAUACACGAAAAACCUUACCAGGUCUUGACAUACUCUGCAAAGCUAUAGCAAUAUAGUGGAGGUUAUCAGGGAUACAGGUGGUGCAUGGUUGUCGUCAGCUCGUGUCGUGAGAUGUUAGGUUAAGUCCUAAAACGAGCGCAACCCUUGUCAUUAGUUGCCAGCAUGUCAUGAUGGGCACUUUAAUGAGACUGCCAAUGAAAAAUUGGAGGAAGGUGAGGAUCACGUCAAAUCAUCAUGCCCCUUAUGAUCUGGGCUACAAACGUGAUACAAUGGCUGUUACAAAGAGUAGCUGAAACGCAAGUUUAUAGCCAAUCUCAUAAAAGCAGUCUCAGUUCGGAUUGAAGUCUGCAACUCGACUUCAUGAAGUUGGAAUCGCUAGUAAUCGCGAAUCAGCAUGUCGCGGUGAAUACGUUCUCGGGGUUUGUACACACCGCCCGUCAAACCACGAAAGUUGGUAAUAC